rnacentral:lncRNA from 1 species
UUAGAUGUUGUUUUGACUUUACAUGUGUUUAUAGUUGAUUGAUAGAUUAGAAACUUGGUCAACAAGCUAAUCACGUGCCACAUGUGUUGGUAGCUUACAAAUUAAGGUAACUAUGUGACGCCCAUAUAGAAAACUUGCCUUAUAAGUGUCACGGAUACAAAAUACAGACAAAAAAUCUAACAAGAAGUUCAAGAAGAAGUGGCAGAACUAGAUUAAACAGAUGAGUACAAGAACAACACCAGAAGGGUGAGCU